CCCUUAGAUGUUCUGGGCGGCCCGCGCACUACAUUGGCACUAGCAAAGAGAUCCUAGAUUGAAUUCUUUGGGGUAUUCUUCUAAAUGGUGUCGUGACUGGGAUAAAUCCUUGUAAUUAUUGGUUUUGAACGAGGAAUUCCUUGUAAUCGCGGUUUAUCAGCUCGCGUUGAAUGCGUCCCUGCCCUUUGUACACACCGCCCGUCGCUCCUACCGAUGGAUCGUCCGGUGAAGCUCACGGAGUGACUGUUCACGCAACGGUUUACGAAGUGAAGUGGACCUCACGAUUUAGAGGAAGGAGAAGUCGUAACA
rnacentral:rRNA from 1 species